rnacentral:rRNA from 1 species
GAUGAACGCUGGCGGCGUGCCUAAUACAUGCAAGUCGAGCGAACGGACGAGAAGCUUGCUUUUCUGAUGUUAGCGGCGGACGGGUGAGUAACACGUGGAUAACCUACCUAUAAGACUGGGAUAACUUCGGGAAACCGGAGCUAAUACCGGAUAAUAUUUUGAACCGCAUGGUUCAUAAGUGAAAGACGGUCUUGCUGUCACUCAUAGAUGGAUCCGCGCUGCAUUAGCUAGUUGGUAAGGUAACGGCUUACCAAGGCAACGAUGCAUAGCCGACCUGAGAGGGUGAUCGGCCACACUCGAACUGCGACACGGUCCAGACUCCUACGGGAGGCAGCAGUAGGGAAUCUUCCGCAAUGGGCGAAAACCUGACGGAGCAACGCCGCGUGAGCGAUGAAGGUCUUCGGAUCGUACAACUCUGUUAUUAGGGAAGAACAUAUGUGUAAGUAACUGUGCACAUCUUGACGGUACCUAAUCAGAAAGCCACGGCUAACUACGUG